ensembl:snoRNA
CCUGCCCUACAGAUAUUGCAGGUGUGGCUCUGUGUCACUUGUGUGUCAGAGUGGGCAGAGAGGAGAGGGGCUAGCUCUGCACUCAGUGUUCCAGCCUGCGAACAUCUGAAUGAUUAGCAUCCUAACACU